ensembl:snRNA U6 U6 spliceosomal RNA
UUGCUUCAGCAGCACAUAUACUAAAACUGGAAGGAUACAGAGAAGAUUAGCAUGGUCCCUGUGCAAGGA